UACGUAGGGUGCGAGCGUUGUCCGGAAUUAUUGGGCGUAAAGAGCUCGUAGGCGGUGUGUCGCGUCGGUCGUGAAAACUUGGGGCUUAACCCUGAGCUUGCGGUCGAUACGGGCAUCACUGGAGUUCGGCAGGGGAGACUGGAAUUCCUGGUGUAGCGGUGAAAUGCGCAGGAUAUCAGGAGGAACACCGGUGGCGAAGGCGGGUCUCUGGGCCGAUACUGACGCUGAGGAGCGAAAGCGUGGGGAGCGAACAGG
rnacentral:rRNA from 1 species